rnacentral:lncRNA from 13 species
AUGGAUUACAGUCUCUCCUGGCCGAUUCACUAUCUUUCAUUGGAUUCCAGUCUCUCCUGGCCCAUUCACUGUGUUUCAUUGGAUUACAGUCUCUCCUGGCCGAUUCACUAUCUUUCAUUGGAUUCCAGUCUCUCCUGGCCCAUUCACUGUGUUUCAUUNNNNNNNNNNUUUGGAGUAGAGAUCGAGCGAUUAAUCGGCAUGGCCGAGUAAUUAGGGACGAUUUCAAGUUUUCAUAACAAUAGGUAACCGGUCUUUUUGGACGCCGAUUAUGGUCAAUUACAUUGCAAUCCACAAGAAAACUGCGCGGCAGGCUGACCACCUGUUACGCGAGUACAGCGUCAAAAGGACCUUGCGGCUGCAAUGAGUCAAGGUAAGUUGCUAGCUAGCAUUAAACUUAUGAACAAUAUUAACUAGGGAAAUUGUGUCACUUCUCUUGCGUUCAGUACAAGCUGAGUCAGGGUAUAUGCAACAGUUUGGUCCUGCCUGGCUCGUUUCGAACUGUGUUUCUUCCUAACAAAGACCGUAAUGUGCAAUGUAACAGCAAUAUUUAGACUUAGGGUUGCCACCCGACAAAAAGGAAUGGUUCCGUAUUUCACUGAAAGAAUAAACAUUUUGUUUUCGAAAUGAUCGUUUCCAGAUUUGACCAUAUUAAUGACCAAAGGCUCAUAUUUCUGUGUGUUUAUCAUAAUUAAGUCUAUGAUCUGAUAUUUGAUAGAACAGUCUGACUGAGCGGUGGGUAGGCAGCAGCAGGCUUGUAAGCAUUCAUUCAAACAGAACUUUAGUGCAUUUGCGAGCAGCUCUUAGCAAUGCUUGAUGCACAGCGCUGUUUAUGACUUCAAGGCUAUCAACUCCCGAGAUUAGGCUGGCAAUACUAAAGUGCCUAUAAGAACAUCAAAUAGUCAAAGGUAUAUGAAAUACAAAUGGUAUAGAGAGAAAUAGUUGACGCGUCAUAAUUCCUAGAAUAACUACAACCUAAAACUUCUUAACUGGGAAUAUUGAAGAACUGGGAAUAUUGAACCACCAGCUUUCAUAUGUUCUCAUGUUCUGAGCAAGGAACUUAAACGUUAGCUUUUUUACAUGGCACAUAUUGCACUUUUACUUUCUUCUCCAACACUGUGUUUUUGCAUUAUUUAAACCAAACUCAAACUUUCAUUAUUUAUUUGAGACUAAAUAGAUUUUAUUUAGGUAUUACAUUAAGUUAAAAUAAAAGGGUUCAUUGUUCGUUCAGUAUUGUUGUAUUUUCAUUAUUACAAAUAUAUAUAAAAAUCGUCCGAUUAAUCGGUAUCGGCUUUUUUGGUCCUCCAAUAAUCGGUAUCGGUAUCGGCAUUAGAAAAUCAUAAUCGGUCGAUUUCUAAUUUGGAGAACUCCAGGGUGCCAUUUGGGAUGCACAUAUGAUCAUGGUGCACAAGAAGACUGCAUGGGCUGUGCUGUUGAAGUGAUGUUUCAAUGGCAGGAGAUGCCAAAGUGAAUCUGUGGGAUCCAGCAGUGUUUUGGGAGACACUGUCCCUCUUCCCCAAAUCCCAUCUCUGGAUUGCUACCAUGGAUUUCACAGAGCAGAUCAGGAAUAGAAGUCAUGCACCAUCUAAGUGAACCACAACAUCUUUUCAGUAAUGAUAUGAAACCUUCAGUCAUAACAUGCCUACCACACAUGUAUAUUGUGUUGACUCACACCAUGAUUCAUAGUAGAAAAUGUAAGCUAUUAAAACCGAUUGCCAUGUUGAAGGCUAUCACCUAUUCAGACAAUGUAGAUGACUAAAUCGAAGGUGGCAUCUUGCUUUCCUUCAGUUUUGAAGAUGUGACUCACUAACGCAGACCAAGCCAGACGUACAGUAUAUCUUAAUCAGGACUGAUUAUAAUCACCAGUAAUUCAGACAGCUAGCAAAUACAAUCAGCUAUAAUGAUAUAACUCAUCAUUCAUAACCACUAAAAUACUGUAAUCAGAACAUCACAUAAAACAUCCAUAGAAGGGAAAAUGCAACGUAAUAAUGCAAUAAACAGAUAGGGUUGUUUCCCAUGCAGACCAAAACAUUGUCAUAUUCACCUUCAUAUUCAGUUCUCUUCCUGAUGGUAACCAUUUUAUGUGUGCUAACACUGAAAGCACUGGUCAAAGCAAAUCCCUCCAGGCUUUACUAAAAAUCCUUUGAACUGGAUAGUCAAUUGGAUAUCUUCUUAUGUGCUUUGAAGUGAAGAAAGCCAGUAUUUGCUUUUGAAAUAAGACUCCACAACCAAAAGAGCUUUUGAAAACAGCUGCACGUGGCUAAAUUUGCAAUUUAUAGAAAAUAUACAACACAUUGAUAUCUUAUUGACGUUGAGCAUUUGCAGAAACAAAAUGCAUUUUGUCGUUCUAUCUAUAAAAUCUUCUGGAUGCCUAAAAUAGUCCCACAAAAUGUAUAAAUACCCUAACCAAAAAUCAGCAAUUAACAUUCCUCUCACACCAAACAGUAUGUUCCCAGCAAACCGGGAACAUUCCCAGGACAUAAGCUAACAUUCCCAUUAAUAGUUAUGGUGUUAUCUGACAUUAGGAUGAUGACAUCUCAAAAACAUUCAUUCAAAUCAUGUUUUUUUCCCAGGAAAUGUUUUAAAUUAAAUAUCCUUGGAAUGUUCUCCUAACAUCCACUAAAAUGUUGUGCACGACAUCUGUAACAACCACCACAGAACAUUCCCCUAAGGUUGUUUAGGUUUCAACGUAGCCAAUAUAUCAUUGCUAAGGGCUGAUCUUAUGCACGUCCUACACAUGGAGUGUAGGACACAGCCCUUAACCAUGGUAUAUUGGCCAUAUAUCACAAACCCCUUAUUGCUAUUAUAAACUGGUUAUCAACGUAAUUAGAGCUGAAAAAAUACAUGUUUUGUCAUACCCAUGGUAUACGGUCUGAUAUACCACGGCUUUCAGCCAAUCAGCAUUCAGGGCUCGAACCACCCAGUUUAUAAUUACAAUUAAUGCAUAUCUUAGAUGCUGGUUGAAGCUGUGACCCAUCGUGUUGCCAAGGGUAGCUUAAAAGUUAUGUACCUCUCCCUCAGGAAGCAGCCUGUGACUUUGAGAAGGCCGUCUCCCUCCACGCUUUGUUGAAAAAUCACCUUGGGAAGAUUUAUGAGGAGUUUAAUGUUUGGGAGAGCAAGACUCAGAGAGAGAAAAUGCACCUGAAAGCCAAUUCAUUACACACACCUGCCAGAAGACGCAUGCACGCACCCCAUCACUGUAACUCCUCUCUCUGGCAGGUCUAUGAUGGCCUCACCAUUAAGUGCUCUGACUGACAGUGACCCUAUGAAUGGAAAACAGCUCUUUUUGCUCAUGCAAGAGUGAAUACAAUUGAAUAAUUAAUGAUAUAAGCAUAUUUGAAGGAAAUGUUCAUAUAUUGUACUGUGUAUAUUUACACACAUGCACAGGCAUUCACUACAAAGAGUCAUAGUGAUUCACCUACACUUCAUGACC